GCCGGAUUCCGGGACAUCGGAGAUCCAGGACUUCAAGAAAAACAUUGGCCAGUUCUGCGAUCAACUUAUCUGCAAGCAAAAGGAACAGCAGGCGCUGCACUACGAGCUGCACAAGAACAUUGCCCUGCAGCGCCGCGUUACUCUGAGUCAGGCGGAAAAUAUCCGGACCCUGAAGGAUGAGAAUGCAGAACUGGCUAAACAACUGGCAGACGCCCAAGGCGCAUCCUCCUCCCUUGCAACAGCUUCGACUGAACUUGAGAACCUACGCUCCUCGUACCAAGAAUUGGAGACGAAGCUAAAGGAGGCGGAACUUAAGAGGGAGCAGGCCGAAAAGCAGCUGGCGGAGAAAAACUCCGAGCAUAUCAGGGAGAAGGGCGAGCUGGAGCUGAAAAAGAAUGCUGACGGCGAGACCAUCAGGAGGCAGCAAAAAGAGCUCAACGGACUCCGGAAAUUUAUGGAGACAGCGGAGCAGCACUGGGACUUGCUCAAUGAAAACA